GUGAGGAAUAUUGGUCAAUGGACGCAAGUCUGAACCAGCUAUGCCGCGUGCAGGAAGAAGGUUCUAUGGAUCGUAAACUGCUUUUGUACAGGAAGAAAUUAUCCCUCGUGAGGGAGCUUGACGGUACUGUAAGAAUAAGGAUCGGCUAACUCCGUGCCAGCAGCCGCGGUAAUACGGAGGAUCCAAGCGUUAUCCGGAAUCAUUGGGUUUAAAGGGUUCGUAGGCGGUUUUGUAAGUCAGUGGUGAAAGUUUGCAGCUUAACUGUAAAAUUGCCAUUGAUACUGCAAGACUUGAAUGUUUGUGAAGUAGCUUGAAUAUGUAGUGUAGCGGUGAAAUGCUUAGAUAUUACAUGGAAUACCGAUUGCGAAGGCAGGUUACUAACAAAUUAUUGACGCUGAUGGACGAAAGCGUGGGGAGCGAACAGGAUUAGAUACCCGUGUAGUCC
rnacentral:rRNA from 1 species